UACGUAGGGGGCGAGCGUUGUCCGGAAUCAUUGGGCGUAAAGCGCGUGUAGGCGGCUCGGUAAGUCCGGUGUGAAACCUUGGGGCUCAACCCCAAGCCUGCACUGGAUACUGUCGAGCUUGAGUCCGGGAGGGGAGAGCGGAAUUCCUAGUGUAGCGGUGAAAUGCGCAGAUAUUAGGAAGAACACCGGUGGCGAAGGCGGCUCUCUGGAACGGUACUGACGCUGAGACGCGAAAAGCGUGGGGGAGCGAACAGG
rnacentral:rRNA from 1 species